rnacentral:rRNA from 1 species
ACUCAAAUGAAUUGACGGGGGCCCGCACAAGCGGCGGAGCAUGUGGCUUAAUUCGAUGCAACGCGAAGAACCUUACCAAGGCUGAACUACGCGGGAAAAGCCGUAGAAAUACGGUGUCCUUCGGGGCCCGCGAUAGGUGGUGCAUGGCUGUCGUCAGCUCGUGUCGUGAGAUGUUGGGUUAAGUCCCGCAACGAGCGCAACCCUUAUCCCAUGUUGCCAGCGAGUUAUGUCGGGGACUCGUGGGAGACUGCCGGUGCCAAACCGGAGGAAGGUGGGGAUGACGUCAAGUCAGCAUGCCCCUUACGUCUUGGGCUGCACACAUGCUACAAUGGCCGGUACAAAGGGCUGCAAACCCGCGAGGGUGAGCCAAUCCCAUAAAGCCGGUCUCAGUUCGGAUCGCAGUCUGCAACUCGACUGCGUGAAGUCGGAGUCGCUAGUAAUCGCAGAUCAGCAACGCUGCGGUGAAUACGUUCCCGGGCCUUGUACACACCGCCCGU